AGAGUUUGAUCCUGGCUCAGGAUGAACGCUGGCGGCGUGCUUAACACAUGCAAGUCGAACGAACCUUCGGGUUAGUGGCGGACGGGUGAGUAACGCGUGGGAAUCUGCCCUCAGGAGGGGGAUAACGGCUGGAAACGGCCGCUAAUACCCCAUAUGCCGAGAGGUGAAAUGAAUUUCGCCUGAGGAUGAGCCCGCGUCUGAUUAGCUAGUUGGUGAGGUAAGAGCUCACCAAGGCAUCGAUCAGUAGCUGGUCUGAGAGGAUGAUCAGCCACACUGGGACUGAGACACGGCCCAGACUCCUACGGGAGGCAGCAGUGGGGAAUUUUCCGCAAUGGGCGAAAGCCUGACGGAGCAACGCCGCGUGAGGGAUGAAGGCCUCUGGGCUGUAAACCUCUUUUCUCAAGGAAGAAGAUCUGACGGUACUUGAGGAAUAAGCCACGGCUAAUUCCGUGCCAGCAGCCGCGGUAAUACGGGAGUGGCAAGCGUUAUCCGGAAUUAUUGGGCGUAAAGCGUCCGCAGGCGGCCCUUCAAGUCUGCUGUUAAAAAGUGGAGCUUAACUCCAUCAUGGCAGUGGAAACUGUUGGGCUUGAGUGUGGUAGGGGCAGAGGGAAUUCCCGGUGUAGCGGUGAAAUGCGUAGAUAUCGGGAAGAACACCAGUGGCGAAGGCGCUCUGCUGGGCCAUAACUGACGCUCAUGGACGAAAGCCAGGGGAGCGAAAGGGAUUAGAUACCCCUGUAGUCCUGGCCGUAAACGAUGAACACUAGGUGUCGGGGGAAUCGACCCCCUCGGUGUCGUAGCCAACGCGUUAAGUGUUCCGCCUGGGGAGUACGCACGCAAGUGUGAAACUCAAAGGAAUUGACGGGGGCCCGCACAAGCGGUGGAGUAUGUGGUUUAAUUCGAUGCAACGCGAAGAACCUUACCAGGGUUUGACAUCCUGCGAACCUCUUGGAAACGAGAGGGUGCCUUCGGGAACGCAGUGACAGGUGGUGCAUGGCUGUCGUCAGCUCGUGUCGUGAGAUGUUGGGUUAAGUCCCGCAACGAGCGCAACCCACGUCUUUAGUUGCCAGCAUUUAGUUGGGCACUCUAGAGAGACCGCCGGUGAUAAACCGGAGGAAGGUGUGGAUGACGUCAAGUCAUCAUGCCCCUUACAUCCUGGGCUACACACGUACUACAAUGCUACGGACAAAGAGCAGCAAGUUCGCGAGGACAAGCAAAUCUCAUAAACCGUGGCUCAGUUCAGAUCGUAGGCUGCAACUCGCCUACGUGAAGGAGGAAUCGCUAGUAAUCGCAGGUCAGCAUACUGCGGUGAAUACGUUCCCGGGCCUUGUACACACCGCCCGUCACACCAUGGAAGUUGGCCACGCCCGAAGCCGUUACUCCAACCCUCGGGAGGAGGACGUCGAAGGUGGGGCUGAUGACUGGGGUGAAGUCGUAACAAGGUAGCCGUACCGGAAGGUGCGGCUGGAUCACCUCCUAA
rnacentral:rRNA from 1 species